UGUUCCAAGAGUUGGGAGCCGGGCCUGAGAGUGGGUAGAACUGUCCAACAGGCAAGAUUCAGAGCCAAAGGUAACCGAAGAAUGCAUCUUGACUGAAUGAUAAAAACAAACUGCUAACACUUCCACAGCACUUCCUCUGUGCCAGGCCCCGUUCUCAGCACUUGACACAAAAUCCUCACAACAAAGCGAUGAGGUGAAGAAACUGAGCUACAGAGAAAAAGAGCAACUUGCCCAAGAUUUUUCUGUUUGCGUAGAGUGGAACUGGAAUUGAAAUGCAGCAGGACUGACCGAAGAGUCUGGCGUCUUAUCCACCAUUGCCCCUUCGAAGAGGGUGGGGAAGGUGAAAUAAUCCAUCAGCACGACCUGUUUUAUGCGGAACUGAGUGUUGGCACACUUCCACUGGAAAAAAAGAAAACCAGCCAUUUACAAGAGAGGAUAUCAGAAAUAUACAUCCUUUCAUCCAUGCCCCACAGGCUUACAGGGAGGAGAGCGCACCAGCUGUUUUUCUCAUGAUUUGUCUGCAUUACAUAUGGAAGCAGAAACCCACCCUGCAUUGUUAUAAGGACGGCUUUUCAUUCAUAUUCUUGUUACUCUUAAUAAAUGUCCCAAAGAAAAAUAUUCUGCAGCAGCCACUCAUAAAGAAGCAGGAAUGGCAAAACCACAGCCUAGAAGGAAACCUAUGUGAAAACACUGGUUGCGUCUUCCUGGAUACAGAAAACAAAUAGAGCUUUUGAAAGAGCUUGCCAAUACAUGCCUGCCAAAUAAAAUAUUGUUUUAUGAAGUCAGGAAAAAACUAAUUUUAAAGGUUAUUGUAGGUUAUUUGUGGUCACUUCUGGUGUGCAUACAACAUGAUGUCAUCCUGAACCCUUCUCUAUUUAUAUUUCA